GACGAACGCUGGCGGCGUGCUUAACACAUGCAAGUCGAACGGAAAGGCUCCAGCUUGCUGGAGUACUCGAGUGGCGAACGGGUGAGUAACACGUGGGUAAUCUGCCCUGCACUCUGGGAUAAGCCUGGGAAACUGGGUUUAAUACUGGAUAUGACCUUUCUCCUCAUGGGGUUUGGUGGAAAGUUUUUCGGUAUAGGAUGAGCCCGCGGCGUAUCAGCUUGUUGGUGGGGUGAUGGCCUACCAAGGCGACGACGGGUAGCCGGCCUGAGAGGGUGAUCGGCCACAUUGGGACUGAGAUACGGCCCAGACUCCUACGGGAGGCAGCAGUGGGGAAUAUUGCACAAUGGGCGGAAGCCUGAUGCAGCGACGCCGCGUGAGGGAUGACGGCCUUCGGGUUGUAAACCUCUUUCAGCAGGGACGAAGCGUAAGUGACGGUACCUGCAGAAGAAGCACCGGCUAACUAUGUG
rnacentral:rRNA from 1 species